AACGAACGCUGGCGGCAAGCCUAAUACAUGCAAGUCGAACGAGAAAGCUCUUCGGAGUGAGUAGAGUGGCGCACGGGUGAGUAACACGUAGGUGACCUACCCUUUGGGUUGGGGACAACAGGGAGAAAUUCCUGCUAAUACCGAAUAAUAUAAGUGACAUUAAAAAACUUAAGAAAGAGGGCUUCGGCUCUCACCGAAGGAAGGGCCUGCGGACCAUUAGCUUGAUGGUGGGGUAAUGGCCUACCAUGGCGAUGAUGGAUAGCUGGUCUGAGAGGAUGAUCAGCCACACUGGAACUGAGACACGGUCCAG
rnacentral:rRNA from 1 species